UACGGAGGGUGCAAGCGUUACUCGGAAUCACUGGGCGUAAAGGAUGCGUAGGCUGGAAAUCAAGUCGAGAGUGAAAUCCAACGGCUCAACCGUUGAACUGCUCUCGAAACUGGUUACCUAGAAUAUGGGAGAGGUAGAUGGAAUUAGUGGUGUAGGGGUAAAAUCCGUAGAUAUCACUAGGAAUACCGAUUGCGAAGGCGAUCUACUGGAACAUUAUUGACGCUGAGGCAUGAAAGCGUGGGGAGCAAACAGG
rnacentral:rRNA from 1 species